rnacentral:rRNA from 1 species
UACGGAGGGGGUUAGCGUUGUUCGGAAUUACUGGGCGUAAAGCGCGCGUAGGCGGAUUAGAAAGUUGGGGGUGAAAUCCCGGGGCUCAACCUCGGAACUGCCUCCAAAACUGCUAGUCUAGUGUUCGAGAGAGGUGAGUGGAAUUCCGAGUGUAGAGGUGAAAUUCGUAGAUAUUCGGAGGAACACCAGUGGCGAAGGCGGCUCACUGGCUCGAUACUGACGCUGAGGUGCGAAAGUGUGGGGAGCAAACAGG